CACGGGGGGAGCAAGCGUUGUUCGGAAUCACUGGGCGUAAAGGGCGUGUAGGCGGUCAGGUAAGUGGGAUGUGAAAUGCCCCGGCUCACCCGGGGACCGGCAUCCCAUACUGCUUGGCUUGAGUACGGGAGAGGAUGUGGGAAUUCCUGGUGUAGCGAUGAAAUGCGUAGAUAUCAGGAGGAACACCGGUGGCGAAGGCGCACAUCUGGCCCGAUACUGACGCUGAGGCGCGAAAGCUAGGGGAGCAAACGGG
rnacentral:rRNA from 1 species